CCCUCGCCUUGGUGCCUCCAACACCCCAUUCACCCGUUGGCUAACUCCUGAAUAUGAUGACGGCAUCUCCCAGCCAAAAGGCUUCAGAAAAAAAAAGGAUCAACAACUUCUUGCUUCCCCUGUUUAAUGACCACGACGUCACCUUCACGGCCGCCUCCCCCAGCAUCCGCUCCUUCAGCAACGGGUUGAAUUGUGUCGAGAGCUGUGAGAAAUCUGAUCCUUGCAUCCCCAUCCCGAUUCCUCCCAGUGACCCGCGCUUGCCCUCUAACAAAGACAGCUGCAUCCAUGCAUUCAGAUCUGCGCCCGUUUGUGGGACAGGAUACUCUGCCUACAAUUUUGGCGGUGAGCCGAACAAGAGAGAGCAGAUCAACGCCAGGACAGCCUUCCUGGAUCUCAGCCAGGUGUACGGCUCUGAGGACCAACUUGCCCUAUUUCUUCGCGACCUCAAAAGUGAUGGUGGCCUGCUGCGUGUCAAUACAAAAUACAAAGACAACGGUCGUGAGCUGCUGCCCUUUGACCCUCUCAAUGCGAACAUGUGUGCCACUCGCAGAAGAAUCACCAGCAACUCAAACGCCAAAGAGGUGCCCUGUUUUCUUGCAGGUGACUCUCGUGUGGCCGAGAACCUCAUUCUGACAUCCCUGCACACAAUGUUUCUACGAGAGCAUAACCGCCUGGCCCGUCAACUGAAGAAACUAAACCCACACUGGGACGGCGAGACCCUCUACCAAGAGGCCCGCAAGAUCAUGGGUGCUUACACACAGGUGUUUAUGUUCAGGGAUUAUUUGCCACACAUUUUGGGUGCUGACAUGGUACGUACACAGCUUGGCUGUUACCCUGGUUACGAUCCCAAUGUCGACCCCAGCAUCGCCAAUGUCUUUGCAACAGCAGCUUUCCGCUUCGGCCACUUGACUGUCCAGCCACUCUUACCCCGUCUGGAUGCAAACAACAAGGAGCACUCUCAGUUCCCCAGUGUCCCUUUGUUCAAGGCCUUUUUCGCCCCCUGGAGAAUCGUCUUUGAGGGUGGGAUUGACCCUCUGAUCCGUGGAGUGAUCAACCGUCCCGCUAAACUGAAUGUUCAAAAUCACAUGAUGGUGGAUGCUCUGAGGGAGAGGUUGUUUCAGUUUGUGCGGAAACUUGCUUUGGACCUGGGCUCUCUUAACAUGCAGAGGGGACGUGACCACGGCUUGCCUGGCUACAACGCCUGGCGUGGGUUUUGCGGCCUGUCUCAGCCCAAGAACCAGGCCGAGCUUGUUCAGGUCCUGAACAACACUGAACUGGCUAGCAAGCUGCUGCAGUUCUACGGUACACCCGACAACAUUGACAUCUGGCUGGGUGGCGUUGCAGAGCCGUUUGUCCCCGGCGGGCGUGUGGAUCCUCUGUUUGCCUGCCUCAUCACAAAACAGUUCCAGAGGCUCCGCCAGGGUGACAGGCUGUGGCACGAGAACCCGGGCGUCUUCACCCCAAGACAGAGAGCUGCUCUAUCGAAUGCCAACUUACCAAGGAUCAUCUGUGACAACACUGGUAUCACGUCUGUGCCUAGCGACCCUUUCAACAUCGUCUCAAACAACAACCCAAUCAUCCUCUGCAAGGACAUUCAAAGCCUGAACCUUGCAGCCUGGAAGGAGUGACCCUGCACAACUCAGGUGGUGAGACUUGGACUUGGAGAAGAUAAAGACAUCAUUCACCAGAUUUUGAAACACCGCCAGUGCAUUGGUUAGCCUGAGGUCUGAACUCCCUUGGGACACAAAAUGGGUGUUGAAUGCUUCAGUCUCACCUGCACACAAUAUAAAAGGUGGACUGGCAUGGAAGAACAUGAAGAGCUAAGCUACAGACAGACAAAGAAAUAAGAGGUGGCGCACAGUCAGCUUAGUUAAUGAAAGACUAGGUGUCCUAUGCUAUUGGAGUUGCACAUCCACUCUCCAUCUCCAUCUCCCACAAUGGGACCUCCCAGAAGAAUGAGAAAGAGCUGUUGGACAUUGUGAAGCUGAACAACUUUAAUCUCCGUCCAUGAGUUAUCAUGAGGGAUCUUGACCUGAAGAAGUAAGCGCACGGAAGCUUACGGUCACUUUGGUCAUGAUGUCUUUUCAUGAGAGGUGCCCAAGAAGCUGAAAUACUGAAAACCUUAAAACCUCUGUCUGUCUCCCUCCCUCCUUCCUACUCCCACCUCUUCCUUGUCACACACACACACACACAC